rnacentral:rRNA from 1 species
GAUGAACGCUGGCGGCGUGCCUAACACAUGCAAGUCGAGCGAACCCUUCGGGGUGAGCGGCGGACGGGUGAGUAACGCGUGGGUAACCUGCCCUGUACACACGGAUAACAUACCGAAAGGUAUGCUAAUACGAGAUAACAUGUAAUGAUCGCAUGGUCGAUACAUCAAAGCUCCGGCGGUACAGGAUGGACCCGCGUCUGAUUAGCUAGUUGGUGAGGUAAUGGCUCACCAAGGCGACGAUCAGUAGCCGACCUGAGAGGGUGAUCGGCCACAUUGGAACUGAGACACGGUCCAAACUCCUACGGGAGGCAG